rnacentral:sRNA from 1 species
CGAGGCUGGGCUCCCCUAGACCAGGGACCUGCCUCCUGCCCAGAAAGCUAGGUUGGAGUCCCCCGAGCAGAGAUGCCCCAAUGCCUCCAUGCCUGAGUAACUUCAGCUCUGCCUACUAGCCCCCUAAUGUCUUAGGCAAGUCACCCCAGCCCUCUGCCCUGGGUUCCCUUGUCUGUCAAAGGGGCACUAUUAUCACACUAGGAUCCUCCUGAAUAAACUAGUUUAUGUCUGGUCCUCUAGCAAAGCUGGUGGGAUCUUAAGGCCCCUGUAGGAGGCUCUAGGAUGCAGUAACUGCUGAUGUGGCCUGCCAGGUCAGGCUAGCCCACUCACUCAGCCUCUCUCCUCUGCAGUUCACAGGCCUCUACAGACCCCUGACCUCUCUGGCUUCUACUCCCUGACCUCAGGCAGCAUGGGGCAGCUCCCCCACACUGUGAGCUGGUUCACCCACCCAUCCUUGAUGCUAGGUUCUGGUGUACCUGGUCACCCAGCAGCCAUCCCCCACCCGGCAAUUGUGCCCCCCUCAGGGAAGCAGGAGCUGCAGCCCUUCGACCGCAACCUGAAGACACAAGCAGAGUCCAAGGCAGAGAAGGAGGCGAAGAAGCCAACCAUCAAGAAGCCCCUCAAUGCCUUCAUGCUGUACAUGAAGGAGAUGAGAGCCAAGGUCAUUGCAGAGUGCACACUUAAGGAGAGCGCUGCCAUCAACCAGAUCCUGGGCCGCAGGUGGCACGCGCUGUCGCGAGAAGAGCAGGCCAAGUACUAUGAGCUGGCC